GAGCGGACAGAUGGGAGCUUGCUCCCUGAUGUUAGCGGCGGACGGGUGAGUAACACGUGGGUAACCUGCCUGUAAGACUGGGAUAACUCCGGGAAACCGGGGCUAAUACCGGAUGGUUGUUUGAACCGCAUGGUUCAAACAUAAAAGGUGGCUUCGGCUACCACUUACAGAUGGACCCGCGGCGCAUUAGCUAGUUGGUGAGGUAACGGCUCACCAAGGCAACGAUGCGUAGCCGACCUGAGAGGGUGAUCGGCCACACUGGGACUGAGACACGGCCCAGACUCCUACGGGAGGCAGCAGUAGGGAAUCUUCCGCAAUGGACGAAAGUCUGACGGAGCAACGCCGCGUGAGUGAUGAAGGUUUUCGGAUCGUAAAGCUCUGUUGUUAGGGAAGAACAAGUACCGUUCGAAUAGGGCGGUACCUUGACGGUACCUAACCAGAAAGCCACGGCUAACUACGUGCCAGCAGCCGCGGUAAUACGUAGGUGGCAAGCGUUGUCCGGAAUUAUUGGGCGUAAAGGGCUCGCAGGCGGUUUCUUAAGUCUGAUGUGAAAGCCCCCGGCUCAACCGGGGAGGGUCAUUGGAAACUGGGAACUUGAGUGCACAAGAGGAUAGUGGAAUCCCACGU
rnacentral:rRNA from 1 species